UCCAGUAUCCCCCUCUACUCUAGAGAGCAAAUGUGUUAAAUUACUCAAGCAUCCACUUUAAGACGUUUUAAAAAGGAAAUAUAAUUCCCACAGUAAGCAGAAUAGAGAAAAUUAUAGCUAACAGUAAUCAAUUAGACAAAAAGCAGAAAAAUAGGAAAAACCCAAUGAAACCCAAAACUACACAUUCCCGGCCAAUCUGGACAACAGAAUGGAAUCACCAAUCAAUGAGGGAAGCAAGGCAGGUAAAGGGGUCAGGGGUGUGGUUCAGCUGACUGAAUGCUUGCCUCUCUCACUCAGCAUCUUAUAAGCUUGCAGAGGGCACAGUGGGGGCAGCAGGAGAAUCUCAAGUUCAAGGUCGUCUUUGACUACCAUAGUAAGUUCAAGACCAGCCUGGCCUAUAUGAGACUGAGGGGGUGGGGGUGGGGGGCAGAGAAGUGAGAAAGGGAGGGAGAUGGUGAAGAAAGAGAAUGAGGAAUAUAAUGAAUAACUUCACACCGAUAAACAACUCUAAUACUUACAUAGAAAAUGUUUCUUUAAAGACAUAAUUUAUCUAUAGCCACAAUAAGAAAGCAGGUUACUUGGGUUUAUUUGUUGUUGUGUAUUCUUUGCAGUAAUGAGAAGUGACCUCAGGGUCUGAUGCAAGCUAGGCAAGUGCUUGACCACUGAGAGACAGACAGACAGACAGACAGACAGAUCAACAGAGAUAGAUAGAUAGAUAGGUAGAUAGAUAGAUAGAUAGAUAGAUCAACAGAGAUAGGUAGGUAGGUAGGUAGGUAGGUAGGUAGGUAGGUAGGUAGGUAGAUAGAUAGAUAGAUAGAUAGAUAGAUAGAUAGAUAGAUAGAUCAACAGAGAUAGAUAGAUAGGUAGAUAGAUAGAUAGAUAGAUAGAUAGAUAGAUCAACAGAGAUAGAUAGAUAGGUAGAUACAUCAACAGAGACAGAGAUAGAUAGAUAGAUAGAUAGAUAGAUAGAUAGAUAGAUAGAUAGAUAGAUCAACAGAGACAGAGAUAGAUAGAUAGAUAGAUAGAUAGAUAGAUAGAUAGAUAGAUAGAUAGAUAGAUAGAUACAUCAACAGAGACAGAGAUAGAUAGAUAGAUAGAUAGAUAGAUAGAUAGAUAGAUAGAUAGAUAGAUAGAUAGAUAGACAGACAGACAUCCCCAGCUCCUGUUUUUAACUUUUUAUUUUGACUAAGAGUCUUACUAAGUUACUCAAGCUGGUAUAGAACUUGCUCUGUUAUCCAGACGGGUCAUUAAUUCCAUGAUCCUCCCUGCUACUAUUCCCAGAGUCUUAUGCUAUCAACAUAAUAAAAUUUAUAGUUAAAACUCCUCCCACGUGCCAGGUGUGGUGGGAUACAGCUUUACAUAAAUAAUCUCAAUGUUUAGGAACUUGAGGCAAAAGGAUCUUGGGCCUGAAGCCAUUCUGGGCUACACAGUGAGACUAUGUUGCCAAAGGGGGCAAGAAUCUGACAAGCUGACACUGUUACAGCAUGAGGAGCCUGGACCUCAGCUUUGUGUUAAGUAAGACAAUCAAAAUACACAGGCAAUGCCCGCUUUCGAUUAGUGAGGUAUGUAGCACAGUCUAGCUCAGAAGCAGAAGACAGAGCGGUCACUAGUGGCAAGGGAACAAGAGAAAGAAAUAGGAAGUUGUUUAAUAGAGAAAUUCAGUUUUGCAAGAUGAAAAGGUUCUGAUGAUGAUAGUGUUGGCUAUACAAAAUUAUUAGUGAACUUUAAAACACUGAACCAGGCAAGUAUAGGAAAUAGUUUAGCAACUUGGGAUUCAAAUGGGCUUGGGAUACUCUGUCUCUGUCUCUGUCUCUGUCUCUGUCUCUGUCUCUGCCUCUGCCUCUGCCUCUGCCUCUGCCUCUCUGCCUCUCUGCCUCUCUGCCUCUCUGCCUCUCUGCCUCUCUCUGCCUCUCUCUGCCUCUCUCUGCCUCUCUCUGCCUCUGCCUCUGCCUCUGCCCCUCUGCCCCUCUGCCCCUCUGCCUCUCUGCCUCUCUGCCUCUCUGCCUCUCUGCCUCUGCCUCCUCUGCCUCUGCCACCUCUGCCUCUGCCUCCUCUGCCUCUGCCUCUGCCUCCUCUGCCUCUCUCUGCCUCUCUGCCUCUCUGCCUCUCUGCCUCUCUCUCUGCCUCUCUGCCUCUCUGCCUCUCUCUCUGCCUCUCUGCCUCUCUCUCUGCCUCUCUGCCUCUCUUUCUGCCUCUCUGCCUCUGCCCUUCUGUCUCUCUCUGUGUGUCUCUCUUUCUCUAUCUCUGUCUCUCUCUCUCUGUGUCUGUCUCUCUGUCUCUGUCUUUCUCUUUACACACACACACACACACACACACACACACACACACACACACACUUCUUCAAACAAGGUACUCAGAAACCUGUUAGUAACCUAGGACCCCACCUGCACGGAGCUUCAUGCAGACCUCACUCCUCCCUUUAACAACCAUCAAACUUAAGAGUCUAUCCAGACAUACUCCCAGUGCAUUUGGAGACUACCGACAACGGGACAAUCCAGCCUGACUGGUUUUAGGUGCCUGCAUAUUACAACAAUCCUGAUUUACCACCUUGUGCCUGUGCAUAAGUGGCUCUUUAUGCACAUGGUUGAAAGCAGGUGCCUUACAAGAAAGAGCAUUCAUUGUGAGCAAAGGCUGUCUAUCAAAUGCAGAACCACCCAAACUAUGCCCCUAGGAACCAAACUCCUUAUUCUCUUGAACCCCAUAAAAGAAAGUCCCUAAAUAAUAACUGGAGCUCUCGAGUUCUUCACUCAGUAGCCCACUGUUUUGCUUUGAAUCUUGCUUUGAAUCAAAAGUUUGCAAUUUUUGCAAAUCAGUGUGAGCUCGUCUUUCAGUUCUUUGCAUGAGAGGCCAAAGACCUAGAAACACCUGGUUCAGACUCUGGGCUGGCAACAAUAGUAGUAACAUAAUAAGGUUUAUAUAAUUUUUAUAUUUGAUCACUAUAAGGUUUUUUUUGGUAAGUCAAGGAUAUUUCUAUAUAUCAAGAACAAACAUCUGGA
rnacentral:lncRNA from 1 species